GAUGAACGCUGGCGGCGUGCCUAAUACAUGCAAGUCGAGCGAACGGACGAGAAGCUUGCUUCUCUGAUGUUAGCGGCGGACGGGUGAGUAACACGUGGAUAACCUACCUAUAAGACUGGGAUAACUUCGGGAAACCGGAGCUAAUACCGGAUGAUAUUUUGAACCGCAUGGUUCAAAAGUGAAAGACGGUCUUGCUGUCACUUAUAGAUGGAUCCGCGCUGCAUUAGCUAGUUGGUAAGGUAACGGCUUACCAAGGCAACGAUGCAUAGCCGACCUGAGAGGGUGAUCGGCCACACUGGAAGUGAGGCACGGUCCAGACUCCUACGGGAGGCAGCAGUAGGGAAUCUUCCGCAAUGGGCGAAAGCCUGACGGAGCAACGCCGCGUGAGUGAUGAAGGUCUUCGGAUCGUAAAACUCUGUUAUUAGGGAAGAACAUAUGUGUAAGUAACUGUGCACAUCUUGACGGUACCUAAUCAGAAAGCCACGGCUAACUACGUG
rnacentral:rRNA from 1 species